GACGAACGCUGGCGGCGUGCCUAAUACAUGCAAGUCGAACGAAGCUGUUUUAACUGGUGCUUGCACCGACUUAAACAACUGAGUGGCGAACGGGUGAGUAACACGUGGGUAACCUGCCCCAAAGCGGGGGAUAACAUUUGGAAACAGAUGCUAAUACCGCAUAACCACAGAAACCACAUGGUUUCUGUGUCAAAGAUGGUUUCGGCUAACACUUUGGGAUGGACCCGCGGCGUAUAGCUAGUUGGUAAGGUAAUGGCUUACCAAGGCAAUGAUACGUAGCCGAACUGAGAGGUUGAUCGGCCACAUUGGGACUGAGACACGGCCCAAACUCCUACGGGAGGCAGCAGUAGGGAAUCUUCCACAAUGGACAAAGUCUGAUGGAGCAACGCCGCGUGAGUGAAGAAGGUUUUCGGAUCGUAAAACUCUGUUGUCAGAGAAGAACGUGUGCGAGAGUAACUGUUCGUGCAGUGACGGUAUCUGGCCAGAAAGCCACGGCUAACUACGUGCCAGCAGCCGCCGUAA
rnacentral:rRNA from 1 species